rnacentral:lncRNA from 1 species
GAACGUGUCUUCUCUUCAUUUGCCCUUCCCCCCUGCCUUCCCAGGAGGAGUCUCACCCACACUGUGCGGCGGGAACCAAAGGCUGGGGUCGGAUUGUCCCAGAGAACAACUUCCAGUAACCGAAGACACCGAUGAUCAAAUGGUACACGUGGGCAGUUACAGAUUUUUGCAAAGGAAGUUUGCAUAAAUUUAAGGUAUGACUCGUUUAUUUUAUAUCCUGAAUUAACUUUCCACCUUCUCAGUCUGAAGUUGUAAUAAAA